rnacentral:rRNA from 1 species
UGGGGAAUUUUGGACAAUGGGCGCAAGCCUGAUCCAGCCAUACCGCGUGAGUGAAGAAGGCCUUCGGGUUGUAAAGCUCUUUCAGACGGAAAGAAACGGUUACGGCUAAUACCCGUGACUAAUGACGGUACCGUAAGAAGAAGCACCGGCUAACUACGUGCCAGCAGCCGCGGUAAUACGUAGGGACCAAGCGUUGUUCGGAUUUACUGGGCGUAAAGGGCGCGUAGGCGGCAUGACAAGUCACUUGUGAAAUCUCUGGGCUUAACCCAGAACGGCCAAGUGAUACUGUCGCGCUAGAGUGCAGAAGGGGCAAUCGGAAUUCUUGGUGUAGCGGUGAAAUGCGUAGAUAUCAAGAGGAACACCUGAGGUGAAGACGGGUUGCUGGGCUGACACUGACGCUGAGGCGCGAAAGCCAGGGGAGCAAACGGGAUUAGAUACCCCUGUAGUCCCUGAGCGGGCUGGCAAGGCGCAU